rnacentral:rRNA from 1 species
AUUGAACGCUGGCGGCAGGCCUAACACAUGCAAGUCGAACGGUAACAGGAAGAAGCUUGCUUCUUUGCUGACGAGUGGCGGACGGGUGAGUAAUGUCUGGGAAACUGCCUGAUGGAGGGGGAUAACUACUGGAAACGGUAGCUAAUACCGCAUAACGUCGCAAGACCAAAAAGGGGGACCCUUCGGGGCCUCUUGCCAUCGGAUGUGCCCAGAUGGGAUUAGCUAGUAGGUGGGGUAACGGCUCACCUAGGCGACGAUCCCUAGCUGGGUCUGAGAGGAUGACCAGCCACACUGGAACUGAGACACGGUCCAGACUCCUACGGGAGGCAGCAGUGGGGAAUAUUGCAACAAUGGGCGCAAGCCUGAUGCAGCCAUGCCGCGUGUAUGAAGAAGGCCCUUCGGGUUGGUAAAAGUUACGUUCCUAGCGGGGAGGAAGGGAGU